rnacentral:rRNA from 1 species
ACCUACGGGAGGCAGCAGUGGGGAAUAUUGCACAAUGGGGGGAACCCUGAUGCAGCGACGCCGCGUGGGUGAAGAAGUCAUUCGUGACGUAAAGCCCUAUCAGCAGGGAAGAAGAAGGACGGUACCUGAGUAAGAAGCCCCGGCUAACUACGUGCCAGCUGCCGCGGUAAUACGUAGGGGGCAAGCGUUAUCCGGAUUUACUGGGUGUAAAGGGAGCGUAGACGGCGAAGAAAGUCUGAAGUGAAAGCCCGCGGCUCAACCGCGGAAUGGCUUUGGAAACUUUUUUGCUGGAGUACCGGAGAGGU